UACGGAGGAUCCAAGCGUUAUCCGGAAUCAUUGGGUUUAAAGGGUCCGUAGGCGGUUUAAUAAGUCAGUGGUGAAAGCCCAUCGCUCAACGGUGGAACGGCCAUUGAUACUGUUAAACUUGAAUUAUUAGGAAGUAACUAGAAUAUGUAGUGUAGCGGUGAAAUGCUUAGAGAUUACAUGGAAUACCAAUUGCGAAAGGCAGGUUACUACUAAUGGAUUGACGCUGAUGGACGAAAGCGUGGGUAGCGAACAGG
rnacentral:rRNA from 1 species